UGGGGAAUUUUGGACAAUGGGCGAAAGCCUGAUCCAGCAAUGCCGCGUGUGUGAAGAAGGCCUUCGGGUUGUAAAGCACUUUUGUCCGGAAAGAAAUCCUUGGCUCUAAUACAGCCGGGGGAUGACGGUACCGGAAGAAUAAGCACCGGCUAACUACGUGCCAGCAGCCGCGGUAAUACGUAGGGUGCAAGCGUUAAUCGGAAUUACUGGGCGUAAAGCGUGCGCAGGCGGUUUGCUAAGACCGAUGUGAAAUCCCCGGGCUCAACCUGGGAACUGCAUUGGUGACUGGCAGGCUAGAGUAUGGCAGAGGGGGGUAGAAUUCCACGUGUAGCAGUGAAAUGCGUAGAGAUGUAGAGGAAUACCGAUGGCGAAGGCAGCCCCCUGGGCCAAAUACUGACGCUCAUGCACGAAAGCGUGGGGAGCAAACAGGAUUAGAUACCCUGGUAGUCCACGCCCUAAACGAUGUCAACUAGUUGUUGGGGAUUCAUUUCCUUAGUAACGUAGCUAACGCGUGAAGUUGACCGCCUGGGGAGUACGGUCGCAAGAUUAAAACUCAAAUGAAUUGAC
rnacentral:rRNA from 1 species